UGGGAUUCGACUAAGCCAUGCGAGUCUAUGGUUUCGGCCAUGGCGGACGGCUCAUUAACACGUGGUUAACAUACCCUCAGGUGGGGGAUAACCUUGGGAAACUGAGGAUAAUACCCCAUAGAAAAAGCAGUCUGGAACGAUUCUUUUUCGAAAGCAUAUGCGCCUGAGGAUUGGACUGCGCUCGAUUAGGUAGUUGGUGGGGUAAUGGCCCACCAAGCCUACGAUCGGUACGGGCCUUGAGAGAGGAAGCCCGGAGAUGGGGACUGAGACACGGCCCCAGGCCCUACGGGGCGCAGCAGGCGCGAAACCUCCGCAAUGCACGAAAGUGCGACGGGGGGAUCCCAAGUGCUCAUGCACAGCAUGGGCUUUUAUCAAGUGUAAACAGCUUGAGGAAUAAGGGCUGGGCAAGUUCGGUGCCAGCAGCCGCGGUAACACCGACGGCCCGAGUGGUGGCCACUUUUAUUGGGCCUAAAGCGUCCGUAGCCGGUCCAGUAAGUCCUUGUUUAAAUCCUGCGGCUUAACCGCAGGACUGGCAGGGAUACUGCUGGACUUGGGACCGGGAGAGGACAAGGGUACUUCAGGGGUAGCGGUGAAAUGUGUUGAUCCUUGAAGGACCACCUAUGGCGAAGGCACUUGUCUGGAACGGGUCCGACGGUGAGGGACGAAAGCCAGGGGCGCGAACCGGAUUAGAUACCCGGGUAGUCCUGGCCGUAAACUUUGCGAACUAGGUGUUAGGUGGGCCCCGUGCCCAUCUAGUGCCGAAGGGAAGCCGUUAAGUUCGCCGCCUGGGGAGUACGGUCGCAAGACUGAAACUUAAAGGAAUUGGCGGGGGAGCACCACAACGGGUGGAGCCUGCGGUUUAAUUGGAUUCAACGCCGGGCAUCUCACCAGGAGCGACAGCAUGAUGACGGCCAGGUUGACGACCUUGCCUGAAGCGCUGAGAGGUGGUGCAUGGCCAUCGUCAGCUCGUACCGCGAGGCGUCCUGUUAAGUCAGGUAACGAGCGAGACCCGUGCCCUAUGUUGCUACUUUUUCCUCCGGGAGAAAGGCACUCAUAGGGGACCGCUGGCGCUAAGUCAGAGGAAGGAGCGGGCAACGAUAGGUCCGCAUGCCCCGAAUCUCCUGGGCUACACGCGGGCUACAAUGGCUAGGACAAUGGGCCGCAACCCUGAAAAGGGACGCAAAUCUCCUAAACCUAGUCGUAGUUCGGAUCGUGGGCUGUAACUCGCCCACGUGAAGCUGGAAUCCGUAGUAAUCGCAGUUCAUAAUACUGCGGUGAAUGUGUCCCUGCUCCUUGCACACACCGCCCGUCACACCACCCGAGUUGGGUUGAAGUGAGGCCUUGGCCUUUGGCUAGGGUCGAACUUGGGCUCAGCGAGGGGGGUGAAG
rnacentral:rRNA from 1 species